rnacentral:rRNA from 1 species
GAGAAGCAAGACCGUGAGGUGGAGCAAAACUCAAAAACUUGUCUCAGUUCGGAUUGUAGGCUGAAACUCGCCUACAUGAAGCUGGAGUUGCUAGUAAUCGCGAAUCAGCAUGUCGCGGUGAAUACGUUCCCGGGCCUUGUACACACCGCCCGUCACACCAUGAGAGUUGGCAAUACCCAACGUACGUGAUCUAACCCGCAAGGGAGGAAGCGUCCUAAGGUAGGGUCAGCGAUUGGGGUGAAGUCGUAACAAGGUAAC